rnacentral:rRNA from 1 species
UACGUAGGGUGCAGGCGUUACUCGGAAUUACUGGGCGUAAAGCGUGCGCAGGCGGCUCUUUAAGUCAGAUGUGAAAGCCCCGGGCUUAACCUGGGAAUUGCGUUUGAAACUGGAGAGCUGGAGUGUGGAAGAGGGGGGUGGAAUUCCAGGUGUAGCAGUGAAAUGCGUAGAGAUCUGGAGGAACACCGAUGGCGAAGGCAGCCCCCUGGGCUAACACUGACGCUCAUGCACGAAAGCGUGGGGAGCAAACAGG